GACGAACGCUGGCGGCGUGCUUAACACAUGCAAGUCGAACGGAAAGGCCCUGCUUUUGUGGGGUGCUCGAGUGGCGAACGGGUGAGUAACACGUGAGUAACCUGCCCUUGACUUUGGGAUAACUUCAGGAAACUGGGGCUAAUACCGGAUAGGAGCUCCUGCUGCAUGGGGGGGGUUGGAAAGUUUCGGCGGUUGGGGAUGGACUCGCGGCUUAUCAGCUUGUUGGUGGGGUAGUGGCUUACCAAGGCUUUGACGGGUAGCCGGCCUGAGAGGGUGACCGGCCACAUUGGGACUGAGAUACGGCCCAGACUCCUACGGGAGGCAGCAGUGGGGAAUAUUGCACAAUGGGCGGAAGCCUGAUUCAGCAACGCCGCGUGCGGGAUGACGGCCUUCGGGUUGUAAACCGCUUUCGCCUGUGACGAAGCGUGAGUGACGGUAAUGGGUAAAGAAGCACCGGCUAACUACGUG
rnacentral:rRNA from 1 species